rnacentral:rRNA from 1 species
AACGAACGCUGGCGGCAUGCCUAACACAUGCAAGUCGAACGAGACCUUCGGGUCUAGUGGCGCACGGGUGCGUAACGCGUGGGAACUUGCCCUUAGGUUCGGAAUAACUCCCCGAAAGGGGUGCUAAUACCGGAUAAUGUCUUCGGACCAAAGAUUUAUCGCCUUUGGAUGGGCCCGCGUUGGAUUAGCUAGUUGGUAGGGUAAAAGCCUACCAAGGCGACGAUCCAUAGCUGGUCUGAGAGGAUGUUCAGCCACACUGGGACUGAGACACGGCCCAGACUCCUACGGGAGGCAGCAGUGGGGAAUAUUGGACAAUGGGCGAAAGCCUGAUCCAGCAAUGCCGCGUGAGUGAUGAAGGCCUUAGGGUUGUAAAGCUCUUUUACCCGGGAUGAUAAUGACAGUACCGGGAGAAUAAGCUCCGGCUAACUCCGU